CCUCAUGCAUAACAAGAGUAAUAUCUACGGGCCUCUUGAUGGAAUAUGACUGAUAAAAUGCGUGGCCACGCCGAACUAAGUCAAUAUGAGAUAUUGAGCUUAUUCGUUACUCAGUAUAUUCUGGGAUCAAGAAAUAAGAUAUUGAACCAUACAAGGAUGACAUGAUCUAUGCCUUGUGUUCAAUAUAGAUAUAAGGGCAAAGGGGUAAUUAUACACACAAUCGUUAUCAUGAAAGGUUU
rnacentral:lncRNA from 1 species